rnacentral:rRNA from 1 species
CGCUAGUGUGCCAGUUGUGCCGUCAGGCGCAUCGCUGGGUAGCUAUGUCCGGAAGGGAUGAGCGCUGAAAGCAUCUAAGCGCCAAGCCCCCCGCAAGAUCGGGUCUUCCUCAUGGGUCGUUCGAGACGAGGACGUGGAUAGGCUGCAGGUGUAAGCGUAGCAAUACGUUCAGCCGAGCAGUACUAAUUACCCAUUAGGCUUAACACCC